GGUUGUAGCUCAGUGGUAGAGUGCUUGCCUAGCAUGUGUGAGGCCCUGGGUUCAAUUCUCAGCACCA
rnacentral:tRNA from 1 species